GAGGAAACUCAGCAAUGAGGAAGUUGUGGCUUCAUUUGAAAAAGGAAAAUUGUUGACUGAACUGUAAAUGGAUACUGUAAGUGAACUGCAAAGUUUCCUUUGUGUGGACUUUCCCCUUUUGCGAUAACACAAUAGGCAGCAGUGAUAAGGAGAAUGUCACAUCUUGAGGACUUCUCAACAGCAUGCAUGACCCCAUCAUCACGCUGAAAAUGGCAACCAUGCAAGUGGGACUUCAGUUUGGGAAACAGAAGUCAGACGGUCAGUUCAGGGCUGGCAUGCUUGGUUGUCCAGGUGAUGGCCACCGUGGAGACAGAGGGCCUGACCGGUCUUGGCCCACUCUAUUACACCAACUGUGCCAACUUACCGUCAACUGGACACUAAACGGCGGCGACACGCAUGCCGCUCUCCUCUGCAAUGUACCGUGGGCACAUGUGUUCAAACCUGAGAAAAGAUAAACCAAAAGGGUGCACAGCCAUUUGAAAUCAGGAGAUCUGAAAUCAGAUUUGCCACCCUCACAUCUAACCACAUCAGUUAAAAGAGUGUUGAAAUAUCUGACCCGGCAUCAGCGGUGUAGGGGGAUGAUUUUGUUGCUGGUGGGCUAUAAGCAACACAGAGAAGAGAUUUGCAGAGACAGCCCAUAACAGCUCCCUUGGAACCAAUGACUCAGAUAUGCAGAUGUGUUUACUUCCCUUCUGUUUCCCACCUCAACCAGCACACAAAAGGCAGGGGGAAUGAAAGUGCCUGAUAAUGUCUUUAAGUGUUUCAUUUAUAUAUUUAUAUGCUGUUAUAAAGAACUCAUUUUUUACUAAAACUUAGACAAGCACUUCAAAUGGGCUCUUUGCCUCUUCCCUCUAUUCCCUCCCUCCCUUCUGAGGGUAUUCAUCUUUUGUCUAAUGCGUAGCGCUGCUCUCUGUUAGUUUCUUUUCUGACACCAUGCCAGCAGAGUCAUCUGCAAAGGGACUCAUGUAGGGAUUAAAAACCAUCAACAGCUCCCCUUUAACAGAGAGGUAGAAAAAAAAAUGUUGAAAAAUAAAAUACAAAAAAAAAAAAAAAAAAAAAACUCCAGACAGUUUUGAGAAAACUUGCAGAAAGAGAAUGCAGAUUGUCACCUGACCCUGAGGCAAGGCAGCCCUAAAUAUAAUAAAGAGAAGACAACAGAAGAAGACGAGGCGACACGACACGGGUAAUGUGUUUUCUCUGCUGGUGUCGUCUGGCAGAUCUGGGAUGAUUGAGUGCUGAUGCCUGCCUGGGCCGCUUCAGAGAAGAUCGUCUACCCCCCCCUCAGCUCGAACACACAUGCACACACGUGCACAGCCGCACUCACGGCACACACUGACACAUGUGUGUGCGCACACACACACACAGAUUUCCUGUUGUUGAAGUGACAAAAACAUCAAGGCGUAUUAACUGUCAUCAUCUCAGCAUCUCUUCAUCUCUCUUUUUGGUCGAGGGAAUAUUUCAAGGUAACACUUUUUUAUUGUGGUGUGUCUGUGCUUGUGUGUGGUUUCUCUCCAUGGUGGAUGUGUGUCUUAAUUAUAACGGGGUUUAGUGAAUUAGGCCAGGAUGUGUAAUAGACUCGAAUUUGCAUAAUCUCUGUUGAAUAAACCCCAGUGACAAACAUGCAAGCAGAAAAUCAUACCUACUUACUGUACUGCACGACUUCAAUGAAAAAUGAUGUAGAAAGGCGUGUUUGUGACAGUAAUCUAUAACGUUUAUUUGCAAAAUGUGCGUAUUAAUCUCUGUGCAUUUCUAUAAUCACUCUGUAUUGUGAAAUUGUCAGCAGCAGAUACAGACAAACAGGUGCUGGCUACAGAGGAAGUUGAUUGGCUGGUUUCCAUGAUCCAUUUUCCCAAGGCUUCCACACCCCUGCAGCUGUCCUCCAGAAUAUGAGAACCAUGUGUGUGCGCAUGUGUGUGUGUGUCUGUGUGUACUCGUAGUGCAUGCUUGUGGUUAUGACAAAUUCACUCCUCGUUGCUUGCCAAUAAGCAAGACAAUGAUCUUCAUUGACAACGAAAAAUAAAAUGCCAAACAAAUGGGCCAACAAAUAAAAGUAACUGUAGAAAAUCACCACCUGAAAUUUAACAGCCCUUAACUGGUUUUUGUUUUUUGGGGGGGGCUUUUUUGGACUAAUUUUAAAAUUUCUCAAAGUUUGAAAGAGUCUGGCCUGCUUGUGAAUCAGCUUCCCUGAUGUUCAAAGUGAAGUCAUGUAACAGGUUUUUUGGGCUUUUGGCUGUUUUGCAUGGCAGAACGUUUUGAACUGAGCAGUGACAGCUUCAGCCCGACUGAAGAGUCUACUUCAACUCGCCUCAUUUCUAUUGGAAAACACUUCUCUCUCUCCCUCUCCCUCCGUCUCUCUCUGUGUCUCUCUCCCUCACCGUCCUCUCUCUGAAGCUGCAGAUCACUUGAAAAAGAAAGGGGAAGGAACAUGAAUAAAAACUGAAGGCACUUCUCUCAGAUAUGUCUCUUGAUGCUCUUCAGAUCUUUAAGGCUUCGUCACAGGGAAAUGCAGGGUUACUCCAAGAAACCGAAGGACUGUGACUUCCCUAAUCUACUGUACAAGACCUGAAUUUCUAAAAUCACCUUCUUCACAGCAACUUUGCUUUCCUCUCUCAUAAUUUUGAUCCCAUCUAUUUGGCUUUUACUUAUUGAUGGGUAGGUGGAGGUGCAGCGCCACUCAAUAACCACUUUUCUUUUAAUUUGGAUGAAAAGAAGAAAACUGGGGACCACAUUGUCAAAAGAGAGUCUUGGUCUGUCUGUCCUUGAUCAUUUCAUACUUUGAUGCAACAGAAAAGAAGAAAAAUAAGUCGAAGUGAAUAAACUUUAGUGCAAUACAAAUUACCGAAGUUUCCAUUAUCUGUCCUUCCACAAGUGAUCCACUGUGUAAUUUGUUCAAGUAAAUAUAAAUAUAACUUGUUAACUAGAUGAAACUGUGUCCAAUAAAAUCUGAAACGGCCGAAAAAA